UGAUACCAGGCCUCAGCAGCGUAUGUGA
rnacentral:sRNA from 1 species